CGUGUAGGCGGCCAGGUAAGUCAGAUGUGAAAGUCCCGGGCUCAACUCGGGAAGUGCAUUUGAAACUGCUUGGCUUGAGUAGGAGAGAGGAAAGUGGAAUUCCUGGUGUAGAGGUGAAAUUCGUAGAUAUCAGGAGGAACACCGGUGGCGAAGGCGGCUUUCUGGCUCUAUACUGACGCUGAGACGCGAAAGCGUGGGUAGCAAACAGGAUUAGAUACCCUGGUAGUCC
rnacentral:rRNA from 1 species